AGUCUGACGGAGCACGCCGCGUGACGAUGAAGGCCUUCGGGUCGUAAAGUUCUGUUGUCAGGGAAGAACAAGUACCGGAGUAACUGCCGGUACCUUGACGGUACCUGACCAGAAAGCCACGGCUAACUACGUGCCAGCAGCCGCGGUAAUACGUAGGUGGCAAGCGUUGUCCGGAAUUAUUGGGCGUAAAGCGCGCGCAGGCGGUUCCUUAAGUCUGAUGUGAAAGCCCCCGGCUCAACCGGGGAGGGUCAUUGGAAACUGGGGAACUUGAGUGCAGAAGAGGAGAGCGGAAUUCCACGUGUAGCGGUGAAAUGCGUAGAGAUGUGGAGGAACACCAGUGGCGAAGGCGGCUCUCUGGUCUGUAACUGACGCUGAGGCGCGAAAGCGUGGGGAGCGAACAGGAUUAGAUACCCUGGUAGUCCACGCCGUAAACGAUGAGUGCUAAGUGUUAGAGGGUUUCCGCCCUUUAGUGCUGCAGCAAACGCAUUAAGCACUCCGCCUGGGGAGUACGGCC
rnacentral:rRNA from 1 species